rnacentral:sRNA from 1 species
GGAAGGAUCAUUAUCGAAUUGUCAAACACGGGUUGUUGCUGGCCCCCAAACGGGGCAUGUGCACGCUCUGUUUACACAUCCACUCACACCUGUGCACCCUCUGUAGUUCUGUGGACCGGGAGACGUUGUCUUCCUUCCGUAGCUCUACGUCUUUACACACACACCGUAGCGAUGUCUCAUGGAAUGUUUUUUCGCGUUUAACGCAAUACAAUACAACUUUCAGCAACGGAUCUCUUGGCUCUCGCAUCGAUGAAGAACGCAGCGAAAUGCGAUAAGUAAUGUGAAUUGCAGAAUUCAGUGAAUCAUCGAAUCUUUGAACGCACCUUGCGCCCCUUGGUUAUUCCUCGGAGCAUGCCUGUUUGAGUAUCAUGAACACCUCAACUCUCAUGGUCUUCCAUGAUGAGCUUGGACUUUGGGGGUUUGCUGGCCUUGUGGCCGGCUCCUCUCAAAUGAAUCAGCUUGCCAGUGUUUGGCGGCGUCACGGGUGUGAUAACUAUCUACGCUCGCGGUUGUCCGUCAGGUAACCCUCAGCGAUGAAGGUUCAUUGGGGCUCAUAAACGUCUCUCCCCAGCGAGGACAACUUUUGAACGUUCGAUCUCAAAUCAGGUAGGACUACCCGCUGAACUUAAGCAUAUCAAUAA